GAUGAACGCUGGCGGCGUGCCUAAUACAUGCAAGUCGAGCGGUAAGGCUUUACACAGUUUGUUUAAACGGCAAAGACAGGUCGCGAUUACGAAGUAAUCGUUUCUUAUACGAAGAAUAAACGCUUCGGUCUAAACCACUCUUUAUCUGGCUAGAUAAACGAGUUUGAACAAAGUGUGUAGAGUACACGAGCGGCGGACGGCUGAGUAAUGCAUUGGAACGUACCCAAACUGAGGGAUAAUCCACCGAAAGGUGGACUAAUACCGCAUGUGCCAUUCGUGGUAAAGCUACGGCGGUUUGGGAGCGGCCAAUGUUCGAUUAGCUAGUUGGUGAGGUAAUAGCUCACCAAGGCUACGAUCGAUAGCGGGUCUGAGAGGAUGAUCCGCCAGACUGGAACUGAGACACGGUCCAGACUCCUACGGGAGGCAGCAGUA
rnacentral:rRNA from 1 species